GCAACGAGCGCAACCCUUGUCCUUAGUUACCAGCACGUUAUGGUGGGCACUCUAAGGAGACUGCCGGUGACAACCGGAGGAAGGUGGGGAUGACGUCAAGUCAUCAUGGCCCUUACGGCCUGGGCUACACACGUGCUACAAUGGUCGGUACAAAGGGUUGCCAAGCCGCGAGGUGGAGCUAAUCCCAUAAACCGAUCGUAGUCCGGAUCGCAGUCUGCAACUCGACUGCGUGAAGUCGGAAUCGCUAGUAAUCGUGAAUCAGAAUGUCACGGUGAAUACGUUCCCGGGCCUU
rnacentral:rRNA from 1 species